rnacentral:rRNA from 1 species
GUAGGUGGCAAGCGUUGUCCGGAAUCAUUGGGCGUAAAGCGCGCGCAGGCGGUCCUUUAAGUCUGAUGUGAAAGCCCACGGCUCAACCGUGGAGGGUCAUUGGAAACUGGGGGACUUGAGUACAGAAGAGGAAAGCGGAAUUCCAAGUGUAGCGGUGAAAUGCGUAGAGAUUUGGAGGAACACCAGUGGCGAAGGCGGCUUUCUGGUCUGUAACUGACGCUGAGGCGCGAAAGCGUGGGGAGCAAACAGGAUUAGAUACCCUGGUAGUCCACGCCGUAAACGAUGAGUGCUAAGUGUUAGGGGGUUUCCGCCCCCCUUAGUGCUGCAGCUAACGCAUUAAGCACUCCGCCUGGGAGUACGGCCGCAAGGCUG